AUUGAACGCUGGCGGCAGGCUUAACACAUGCAAGUCGAGCGGGGUGAUGGUGCUUGCACUAUCACUUAGCGGCGGACGGGUGAGUAAUGCUUAGGAAUCUGCCUAUUAGUGGGGGACAACAUCUCGAAAGGGAUGCUAAUACCGCAUACGUCCUACGGGAGAAAGCGGGGGAUCACUUGUGACCUUGCGCUAAUAGAUGAGCCUAAGUCGGAUUAGCUAGUUGGUGGGGUAAAGGCCUACCAAGGCGACGAUCUGUAGCGGGUCUGAGAGGAUGAUCCGCCACACUGGGACUGAGACACGGCCCAGACUACUACGGGAGGCAGCAGUGGGGAAUAUUGGACAAUGGGGGGAACCCUGAUCCAGCCAUGCCGCGUGUGUGAAGAAGGCCUUAUGGUUGUAAAGCACUUUAAGCGAGGAGGAGGCUCUUUUGGUUAAUACCCAAGAUGAGUGGACGUUACUCGCAGAAUAAGCACCGGCUAACUCUGUGCCAGCCGCCGCAGUAA
rnacentral:rRNA from 1 species